rnacentral:lncRNA from 1 species
GGCUAGUAUGACACUAUGAAAUGAAUAGACCCAUAAAACGCAUAAAACAAAUAAACCAAACAAAAUUCAAACCAAGAUAAUGUCAAGUUCGAAUUAUACAGUCCCAAAAAUAGAAAAAUGCGAAAAAUGUAAAUCCUAUUCUAACCCAAUCCUAGACUAUGCCCUACCCGAUACCUCAGGUCUUGAUCAUUAUAAUCUUCCACCAACAUAAUACGUCGGGACAUUCCCUGGUGAAUUAACACAAAUUGCCUUGGGCAUUCCCGGCUAAAUGAGUAGAUUUUUUUCAAUGCGAGAAACCAACACCAUUCAACAAACACUUCAAACAUUCACAAUUCAUAAUUCUUAAAUUUGCCUAGCCGGCCUACCGUUUGCCUACCAAUUUUAACCCAUCAUGAUAUUUCGGGUUCGAUCCAAUCAACGUCAAUUUUAAAUCAAACAAUUAAUCAAUGAUGCAAGAAGGCAAUUACAUAUCAAUUUUUCAUUUCCGCCCUACACAAACGGAAUAUCAAUCCACCAACCAAUCCAUAAUUACGAAAAUCAAACACCAAAUCAAAACAAACAACAUUUCACACCAUCAAUCACGUAAAAAUCACAAAAUUAUGAAGAAAGAGAGGAAAAUUGGACCUCAAAUACUUUUCAGUUGGAAUAAUCCUUCCGGCUAAAAACGCGUCCAAAAUCUCAAACUGAACCUCAACAAAACAAAUAAAUCCAGCUUUGAUCUAAUCCACUUUACUUUUCCUCGCCAAAAUCAAACCAGAAAUCACAAGCGAAGAAGACCAGUACCCAUUAUGUAUCGUUUUCCAAUGAAUUUCAAAUGAAUAUUCGCCGGAAAGGGGACGGGGUGACUGUUUUGUUGGAUUUUUUGCCAGGUUUUGGUUUUUUGAUGGGGUUGGGAGUAUGUUGAAGCUAGUUUCCAUCAGGUUUUGGGGAUGGGACGUUUACGGAGAGGGAAUGAGGUUGUUGGCGAGCUGGGUGUGUCGAAUUUAAGGUUGGAACAGUGAUUCCGGUGAAAUUUCGCCGGAAUUUCAGAGUAGUGCAAACUGAUUUCAACUUGCACUAGCAAUAUUCCAACUUUAAGUUGAACUUAGGAUGCGAAUUUUUGCAACUUUGGGCGCAUUUGUCGAAAAAUAAUUUUUAA